GACCCAUUUCUCCCCCAAACAGAACUGAAUCCAGAGGCUUCCUGGGAGGUGAUAAUAUUGUUAGUGGGACCACUAUUUUUCUGUGGCUCAGGACACAAGAGUUAAUUACAAGUUUCCAUUAUGGUCUUCCUUAUGUUCCUGCCAGAGAGCGAACAGAUCUUUUUCCAUUAGCAAUUUCCCCUGAAAUUCCCCUGUUUUCCUGAUUCUGUUGAUAAGACAGAAUCACACAAUUCCAUCUGGUCCUACAUCUGCUUGUCCCCAUCUGUGUGUCCCUGAAGUGGGAAUAGUCUUGCUCUCUGCAGAGCUUUCUACGGCUGGCCCUGUAGAUGUGGCACAGGAGACCUCACCUUGGGUUGGCCUGCUUGGGAUUUGCUGAGGAACUUGUGCUGCCCACCUACAGAAAUGUGAAUUGUAAGUACAUCAAUUAUGAAGCGCCUAAACAUCUCCAUGCUGCUAGUCCUUUUCCUUUGCUAGUCCAGCCUCUCAGGUUUGCAAAAGCUCUGUCCUCUUAGGCAGCUCAAGGGCCUUACUCUUGCUAACAUGAAAAGAUCUGAUAGAAAUUUUACUCUAAGUUAUUAAUGAGUUAUUGUGCAGCUCCUGCCAUAUAGAUAAAUGUUUCUGCAAAGAAGAGGAUAGAGAGAGGAUGGAAAGGAGAAGGCAAUGCUUAACCAAAUGCAAGGAAUAACUAGUGAAAAACCUUCAAGCAUUUUGACACUUGAAAGAGGGAG
rnacentral:lncRNA from 9 species